GACAGAGGCCUCAAGCGUUAGGCGGAAUCACUGGGCUUAAAGCGUGUGUAGGCGGACGCCUAAGUGUCUUGUGAAAUCCCCCGGCUCACCCGGGGAACUGCUGGGCAUACUGGGCGUCUUGGGCCAACUAGGGGCAACUGGAACAAGCGGUGGAGCGGUGAAAUGCGUAGAUAUCGCUUGGAACGCCGAAGGUGAAAACAGGUUGCUGGGGUUGUGCCGACGCUGAGACACGAAAGGCCAGGGGAGCAAACGGG
rnacentral:rRNA from 1 species